AGUCCAGAGAUCAAGACUGUAAAUCAAAGGUAUCCUCAGGGUCUGGAUCAAGCAGAAUAUCACGCACAGGAAGCCGAUAUUUCUGCGCGUCUCUGCGUCUUCGUUGGCUUUUACGCAUUAGGCCACUCCUGGGCAGAUUUGGUUCUUUCUGGAGAAGAGCACUGGAUCCGAGAAAAAAACUUGGACCCAAAACUUCCGAGCCCGGCCGUGUUCAUGCCACCUCGCUGCUGGGCCACGGAGGUAAGAAGCUAUUAGUCAGCCGCUGUGCGCGUCACCUUGGCAGUGAGAUGAGGAAUAAGCUUUUGGUUUUAUGAGUCUCGUCGUAGCUCCACCUCCUCAGGGUUUGUCUGCUCGCUGCCUUCACUGAACCAAAGUUGAAUGCAAAGCUGCACUUGUCUAGCAUGGAUUUAUAUGCAAAAGGGAAGAAAAUAAGGGCCUGAAGGGACCAAGAUUUUAAAUAGGCCACCCUGCUGAUGUCUUUGCGAGUUAUAGGACAUCAGUUUGAAGAUGAGGAUGAAGAUGAUGACGACCAACAAAUGCAAGACAUGACGCUCAGGUUUUCAGACAGUUCGAGCCGCAGAGGGAUUGCUGCUUAGGCCCAGAGUUCAAAUCACAUGAUUAAAACAGAUCCUCCAGAGCAUCAGGACAGUUCGAGCUGCAGAGGGAUUGCUGCUUAGGCCCAGAGUUCAAAUCAUAUGAUUAAAACAGAUCCUCCAGAGCAUCAGGUCACAGCAGGAGGCUGAUGCCCACUGAGCCAGAAUCUGCUCCAGAUCUCGGCCUGUCAGAAAAAGAGUUUCCAAACCAUCAGUGCUUGUGCUCAGCUGAGAUGAGUUAAAUUGUGCCUGUGAGAAGAUUUCACAAAAAGAACGGUCUAGGUCUGCUCUGUAUGAAUAGUGUCACACAAUCACAGCUCCAUGUUUUACUAAAGACUAUUCAAUCCAUUGAUUGACUUAUUGAUGUAUCGUGCAUCUAUUUUGCACAAUUUUAUAUAUUUUCCCUCAGUGUGAUUCUGUUUCACCAAACAUAGGAAAACAAGUUUUGAUACUGUGUAGAUUUU